GCUGGGUGUGGUGGCGCACACCUGUAAUCCCAGCUACUUGGGAGGCUGAGGCAGGAGAAUCGCUUGAACCUGGGAGGCGGAGGUUGCAGUGAGCUGAGAUGGCAUCACUGCACUCCAGCCUGGGUGACAGGGUGAGACUCCACCUCAA
rnacentral:SRP_RNA from 1 species